rnacentral:rRNA from 1 species
AUUGAACGCUGGCGGCAGGCCUAACACAUGCAAGUCGAGCGAGCGGCGGACGGGUGAGUAAUGUAUGGGAAUCUGCCCGGUAGAGGGGGAUAACUACUGGAAACGGUGGCUAAUACCGCAUACUAUCGGAUGAACCGAUAUGGGAUUAGCUAGUAGGUGGGGUAAAGGCUCACCUAGGCGACGAUCCCUAGCUGGUCUGAGAGGAUGAUCAGCCACACUGGGACUGAGACACGGCCCAGACUCCUACGGGAGGCAGCAGUGGGGAAUUUUGCACAAUGGGCGCAAGCCUGAUGCAGCCAUGCCGCGUGUAUGAUGAAGGCCUUCGGGUUGUAAAGUACUUUCGGCGGGGAGGCGUUACCCGCAGAAGAAGCACCGGCUAACUACGUGCCAGCAGCCGCGGUAAUAC